ensembl:lncRNA
GUAUAUUUGUACAAUUAGAAAAUUAUACAAAAUUUAAAAAUAUGAAAAUAAAAAUUAUAAAAAGAAAAAUAAAAAAAAAGAGCAAAGAUGAUAAUAUUAAUAAUUAUAGUAACCUAGACUUUAUUAUAACAAAUAGAGAAAAAGAAGUAAUUUUAAAAAAAAAAAAAAAAAAAAAUGCUUUUUUUAAGCAUGUAGAGUUUAGUAAGGAAUACUUAUAUUUUUUACAAGUAGUGGUGAAGAAGGAUUUGAGGCAAAUAGUUCGUGAUAAGUCUGCACAUGCUACCGCUACUACCACUNNNNNNNNNNNNNNNNNNNNNNNNNNNNNNNNNNNNNNNNNNNNNNNNNNNNNNNNNNNNNNNNNNNNNNNNNNNNNNNNNNNNNNNNNNNNNNNNNNNNAUGUAGAGUUUAGUAAGGAAUAUUUAUAUUUUUUACAAGUAGUGGUAAAGAAGGAUUUGAGGCAGGUAGUCCGUGGUGAGCUUGCACACGGUACUACAACCGCCACUCCUAUUAGCACCAACAGUGGCGACAACAAUCUGACAUUUUUAAACGAACACAAAAACACCUUUUCAGACAUAAGUAUAAACAUUUUUUUAAAUUUUACUGCAGAGGUUGCAUUAAUAGAUGACAAAACAAAUGAAGAAGUAGAUAAGGAUGUGAAUAGUUUUUUGGAACAUAACAAAAUUAAUAUAGAGGCUUUAAAAAAUAAAACACCUGUAGAUAACACAAUCAAUAAUAUUUUUUCUUUUAUAAAUGAUCUAAAUUUACAUUUCAAAUGUGAUUAUAUAAAUAUGUUCACCCAACUUUCAAUGAGUAAUAAAGAAAAUAUUUUGAAUAUAAAAAAUUGUGUAAUACAUAAAAACAAAGACGUAAAUAAAGAUAAAUUUAAUAAACAAAAUAAACUAUUUAAUAAUUUAUCUGUAUGCAUGAAUAAUAAAACAAAAUUAGUAAAUGAAAAAAAACCAUGCGUAAAUAAAAACAUAUUUUUUCAAAACCUGUCGUCAAUUUUACCUUAUAAUAAAAAGGAUUUUGAUUAUAUAAUAUAUAAACAUUUUGAAGACAUUACUAGUGAGGGUAAAAUAUAUAUAGAUAAUUUUUUACGUACUAUGAAGUGUUUUUAUCAUACUGUCAGAGAUGAUACGGCUGCUGCUGAUAAUACCACUACCACUACCACCACUCCUGACACUUGUGACAAUAACACUAAUUUAAUGUUGAACUCUUUCGAAAAAUUUGAAAAAUUUGAAAAAUACCCAAUAAUGACUACCAGUAAAGAAGAUAAUUUCCCUUUUGAGAUGAUUAAAGAAGAUAGUAAAAAAAAUGAAAAAUUUAUAAAUAAAGAUUAUGAUAUAUAUUUUGAAAAAUUAUUUCUUCAUUCUAAUGAAGUAAAAAGAAUUAUUGAAGAUUUCCAAAAUUAUCAUAAUAUUACUAAUAAAACAAAUAUGUUAAAAAUAAAAAUGGAUGCUGAGUUUAAGUUAGAAGAAAAGGCUUUCCGUAUGCUCAAAACCAGUGCCAAUUUUAACAGUAAAAAAAGUGCUCGCAUUAACUUCGAUAGUGGCAAAACUUAUGUUAACAACAGCUGCUGUAACAACUACGGGUACAAUACCGAUAUCGAAGAAUUUAUAAAAAAUAACUAUGCACAUCUAGAAAACAUAUAUAAAGAAAUACCAAAUACAAUCACGACAGAACCAAAUUAUCAGAACUGCACAAAUAAGAUAAACUAUGCUUCAUCUACGUUAAACGCAGAAAACACAAAUAAUGUUGAACCUUUAAAAAAAAAAGAUAAAAUAAAUUACAAUGAUAAAAAAAAACAAAAGCUAUAUGCAAAUACCAAAAUAAAAUCACAAGUAACAAAUAUACAAGAUAUUAUAAACAUGAUAAAAAAAAUUGACACAUGUACCGAGUCAAGUGAUAUGAAAAAUAAUAAAAUAAAUAUUUCAAAAACUAUUAAAGAAAGAAAAAUAUUUAUUGAGCAUAUAAAAUCUAAUCUGAAGAAUAAAAAGUUUAAAAACAUA